AAAUUGAAGAGUUUGAUCAUGGCUCAGAUUGAACGCUGGCGGCAGGCCUAACACAUGCAAGUCGAACGGUAGCACAGAGAGCUUGCUCUCGGGUGACGAGUGGCGGACGGGUGAGUAAUGUCUGGGAAACUGCCUGAUGGAGGGGGAUAACUACUGGAAACGGUGGCUAAUACCGCAUAACGUCGCAAGACCAAAGAGGGGGACCUUCGGGCCUCUUGCCAUCAGAUGUGCCCAGAUGGGAUUAGCUAGUUGGUGAGGUAACGGCUCACCAAGGCGACGAUCCCUAGCUGGUCUGAGAGGAUGACCAGCCACACU
rnacentral:rRNA from 1 species